GAUGAACGCUAGCGGCAGGCCUAACACAUGCAAGUCGAGGGAGAAGCCCUUUCGGGGGCAGAAACCGGCGCACGGGUGCGUAACGCGUAUGCAACCUACCUUUCACAGGGGGAUAGCCCGAAGAAAUUUGGAUUAAUACCCCAUAAUCUUAUUGGAUGGCAUCAUUUGAUAAUUAAAACUGCGGUGGUGAAAGAUGGGCAUGCGUCCUAUUAGCUAGUUGGAGUGGUAACGGCACCCCAAGGCUACGAUAGGUAGGGGUCCUGAGAGGGAGAUCCCCCACACUGGUACUGAGACAGGGACCAGACUCCUACGGGAGGCAGCAGUGAGGAAUAUUGGUCAAUGGUCGGAAGACUGAACCAGCCAUGCCGCGUGCAGGAAGAAUGCCUUAUGGGUUGUAAACUGCUUUUAUAUGGGAAGAAUAAGGCGUACGUGUACGUUGAUGACGGUACCAUAUGAAUAAGCAUCGGCUAACUCCGU
rnacentral:rRNA from 1 species